rnacentral:rRNA from 1 species
AGUGAACGCUGGCGGUAGGCCUAACACAUGCAAGUCGAACGGCAGCACAGUAAGAGCUUGCUCUUACGGGUGGCGAGUGGCGGACGGGUGAGGAAUACAUCGGAAUCUACUUUUUCGUGGGGAUAACGUAGGGAAACUUACGCUAAUACCGCAUACGACCUACGGGUGAAAGCAGGGGAUCUUCGGACCUUGCGCGAUUGAAUGAGCCGAUGUCGGAUUAGCUAGUUGGCGGGGUAAAGGCCCACCAAGGCGACGAUCCGUAGCUGGUCUGAGAGGAUGAUCAGCCACACUGGAACUGAGACACGGUCCAGACUCCUACGGGAGGCAGCAGUGGGGAAUAUUGGACAAUGGGCGCAAGCCUGAUCCAGCCAUACCGCGUGGGUGAAGAAGGCCUUCGGGUUGUAAAGUCCUUUUGUUGGGAAAGAAAAGCAGCAGGUUAAUACCCCGCUGUUCUGACGGUACCCAAAGAAUAAGCACCGGCUAACUUCGUG